CAGGAGAAAUCCUGAUUAAUACCGGAUACCCUCUUCGGAGGAAAGAUUUAUCGCUUAGGGAGGGGCCUGCGUUCUAUCAGCUAGUUGGUGAGGUAAUGGCUCACCAAGGCUAUGACGGAUAAUUGGUCUGAGAGGACGACCAGUCACAAUGAAACUGAGACACGGUUCAUACUCCUACGGGAGGCAGCAGUGAGGAAUCUUCCACAAUGGACGAAAGUCUGAUGGAGCGACACCGCGUGAAGGAUGAAGGCCUAACGGUUGUAAACUUCUUUUCUGAGGGAGCAUAAUGAGAGUACUUCAGGAAUAAGGAACGGCAAAUCACGUGCCAGCAGCCGCGGUAAUACGUGAGUUCCAAGCGUUACCCGGAAUCAUUGGGUGUAAAGGAUGCGUAGGUGGAUUUUUAAGUCAGGUAUGAAAGGCCGGAGCUCAACUCCGUGUUUGUGCUUGAAACUGGAAAUCUGGAAUCGGGGAGAGGUUAGCGGAAUUCUAAGUGUAGGGGUGCAAUCCGUAGAUACUUAGAAGAACACCAAAAGCGAAGGCAGCUAACUGGAACUGUAUUGACACUGAGGCAUGAAAGCGUGGGGAGCAAAAAGGAUUAGAUACCCUUGUAGUCCACGCCCUAAACGUUGAUAACUAAGUGUCGGGAAUUGUCCCCGGUGCUGAAGCUAACGCGAUUAGGUUAUCCACCUGGGGAGUACGGCCGCAAGAUUAAAACUCAAAGGAA
rnacentral:rRNA from 1 species